rnacentral:rRNA from 1 species
ACGCUAGCUACAGGCUUAACACAUGCAAGUCGAGGGGAAACGACAUCGAAAGCUUGCUUUUGAUGGGCGUCGACCGGCGCACGGGUGAGUAACGCGUAUCCAACCUGCCCACCACUUGGGGAUAACCUUGCGAAAGUAAGACUAAUACCCAAUGAUAUCUCUAGAAGACAUCUGAAAGGGAUUAAAGAUUUAUCGGUGAUGGAUGGGGAUGCGUCUGAUUAGCUUGUUGGCGGGGUAACGGCCCACCAAGGCUACGAUCAGUAGGGGUUCUGAGAGGAAGGUCCCCCACAUUGGAACUGAGACACGGUCCAAACUCCUACGGGAGGCAGCAGUGAGGAAUAUUGGUCAAUGGACGAGAGUCUGAACCAGCCAAGUAGCGUGCAGGAUGACGGCCCUAUGGGUUGUAAACUGCUUUUAUAAGGGAAUAAAGUGAGCCUCGUGAGACUUUUUGCAUGUACCUUAUGAAUAAGGACCGGCUAAUUCCGUGCCAGCAGCCGCGGUAAUACGGAAGGUCCGGGCGUUAUCCGGAUUUAUUGGGUUUAAAGGGAGCGUAGGCCGGAGAUUAAGCGUGUUGUGAAAUGUAGAUGCUCAACAUCUGCACUGCAGCGCGAACUGGUUUCCUUGAGUACGCACAAAGUGGGCGGAAUUCGUGGUGUAGCGGUGAAAUGCUUAGAUAUCACGAAGAACUCCGAUUGCGAAGGCAGCUCACUGGAGCGCAACUGACGCUGAAGCUCGAAAGUGCGGGUAUCGAACAGGAUUAGAUACCCUGGUAGUCCGCACGGUAAACGAUGGAUGCCCGCUGUUGGUCUGAAUAGGUCAGCGGCCAAGCGAAAGCAUUAAGCAUCCCACCUGGGGAGUACGCCGGCAACGGUGAAACUC